GAAUCUGCCUUCAGGUUCGGGACAACCACUGGAAACGGUGGCUAAUACCGAAUGUGCAGUAAUGUGAAAUAUUUAUAGCCUGGAGAUGAGCUCGCGUCUGAUUAGCUAGUAGGUGUGGUAAGAGCGCACCUAGGCGACGAUCAGUAGCUGGUCUGAGAGGAUGAUCAGCCACACUGGGACUGAGACACGGCCCAGACUCCUACGGGAGGCAGCAGUGGGGAAUUUUCCGCAAUGGGCGAAAGCCUGACGGAGCAAUACCGCGUGAGGGAGGAAGGCUCUUGGGUUGUAAACCUCUCUUCUCAGGGAAGAACAAAAUGACGGUACCUGAGGAAUAAGCAUCGGCUAACUCCGUGCCAGCAGCCGCGGUAAUACGGAGGAUGCAAGCGUUAUCCGGAAUCAUUGGGCGUAAAGCGUCCGCAGGUGGCUAAUCAAGUCUGCCGUCAAAGACCGUAGCUCAACUACGGAAAGGCGGUGGAAACUGAUAAGCUAGAGUGCAGUAGGGGUAGAGGGAAUUCCCAGUGUAGCGGUGAAAUGCGUAGAGAUUGGGAAGAACACCGGUGGCGAAAGCGCUCUGCUGGACUGCAACUGACACUCAUGGACGAAAGCUAGGGGAGCG
rnacentral:rRNA from 1 species